rnacentral:lncRNA from 1 species
CUUCUACCUGCAAAUAAUAAUAAACUCUUGCUUCUUACCAUACUCAUAUUGAAUGAGAAUGAUAGAAUCCUCCCAACUUCCACAUCGAUAUAAUAAUAACUCAUAAUUUCUGACCAACAGUUCGAAUAUAUUGUGUACAUCAUAUUAUUUCCUUGACUCAUAAUUAUGCUACUGUAAUACUAAUUAGUAAUUAUAAUUGAGUACAGUAGUACUAGUAACUUAUAAUACGAGUUGGAUUCUGAGCAAAAUUUGCACUAACAUAAGAACACAUUUUUUGGUUGGAUACGAGCUGGUCGAAGUUUGGCGACGGGACAAAAGAGCCGCAUACAGAGCGAUUUUUAAAGCUAUUUCUUAUGGGAUAAAUUGCUUUGACUUACGUGCUCCGCCCAAGAACGAAUUAAACUCGAUGUAUUACUCUAAUAUGUGAAAUGUUAUAUCAUCAAUUUUAGGACUACUUAUUUCCUUAUAUCAUUAUUCCUUUCAGAAAGAGGAAAUUAUACAACUAAAUGCAAUGUGUACCCCAAAAUGUACUUUGAAUGAAAUCUAUUAUGUAAUUAAGCUGUAUUGAUGGUUGAAGUUAUCCCAACAUUCAUAAUAUAUUUGCUCCACCAAAAAUCUCUGAUUGAACAAUUUUCUCGUCAAAAUCAAUAAGACAAUUAAGAUUCCCUUUUACUGUUGGUCGAAAUCUCCUCGCACAAUAAUGAAAAUAAUUGUUUAACAAUACCCAAUGGAAUAUGUAAAAAAGAGAAUAUUAUUUGGUCUAUGAAUUCAAUAUGAGAUAAAGGUUGCUUGGCGAUUGAAUAUAAAAUAAUCUAUUUUUAUUUAAAUUACUUAACCAAUGUCGGUCUAAAUUAUCAUUGAUAAGAAGUAAAAGUAUUUCAGCUUCGUAGAACUACAGGACAAUUAUUCGGAGAAUGAGGGCCUUUUGAAUGAUUCCUCAGCUUGAUCGUAAUUUGGUGUAGAGGACGCAAGACAUGCUGAAAAUUAUCU